rnacentral:lncRNA from 1 species
GCGCCGCGCGACCCGCGGACGGGACGACCGGGCUCCCUCGGUCCGCGCUGUCCCGGAGCGGAUUCCCCGCUAGGGCUCGGCUCGGCUCCGCUCUGUCCUCGCCCGGGGCCCUGGUCGGUGUACGCGGCCUCUUGGGGCGCAGACGGACCCGUCACGCGCGGGACCACGGGGGCUGCCGAGGUGCUGAGCGACACCCGGAAACCUGGGGCGCCCGGGCCCUCCCCGUCCCGCCGCGUCGUUCCUCCGGGCGCCGCCCCGCGCCCCCGCCGCCUCCCGGGGACAGCGUCGGGCCGGGGUACCGGGGGCGGGGGGCGGGGCCCGCAGGACGAGCGUCCGGGCCCGGCCGAGGCCCCGCGAGGACAGCCCCGGGGGCGGCGCCGGGUCACAAUCCCCGCGGGCCUGGGACGCAGGCCACGCCCCGGGCGGCGGGGGGAGGGGCCGCGCGCGGCGCAGGCGCAGAGCGGGCCGGAAGCGGAAGCGGCGGGGCGGGGCGGGGCGGGGACGGCCGCGGCGGAACUUCCGCCGGGCUGGGGCCCGCCCCCUGGGGGCUCCCGCAGCGCUGUGGGCCCCGCCCCGCCCCGCCCCGCCCCGCCCCCGCGGCCCCCGCCCGCCUUCCGCCCGGUGCCGGGAUCCCUGCGAGCGGACCCGCGAGGGCCGGGGGCGGCGGCGGGGCCCGUGGGGCGUGGUCCGCGCGGCGCGGCUGAGGUCACAGGGGGGCCCGGGGCCUUGGCUCUGCGGCGGCCCUGGGCGGGGGCGCGCGGCGGGGCUGCAGCCGGGCUGGGGGCCGCGGAGGGGGCCGCGGAGGGGGCGGGGGGCCGGGGCCGGGGCCGCGGAGGGGGCGGGGGCGGGGGCGGGGCGCCGGCUGCCGGCGGGUCCCGCUGCCCCGGGGGCCCGGGAGGACAGGGGCGGCCGGGAGCCGUGGCCGGACGCGCCCCGGGGGAGGAGCCGGCGCCGCGGCGGGAGCCCGGGCAGCGCCGCCGUCGGAGCCCCGCGGGGUCCCGGGCCCGGAGCGCGGGGCGGCGGCCGCAGACUCAGGACUGGGUAAGCGGGGGCGGGGCGGGGCGGGGCGCCUCAGGCUGGGCGGCCCCGGAGCACCCCCCCCGCCGCGCGGGCCCGCGGACGAGGGCGCGGACAGCCCGGGGGCGCCCCGGGAGCCAGGAGGCCGGAGCCCAGGACCGGGCGCGGCGCCCCGCGGGGAAGGCCCAGAGCCGGGCGGGUGCGAGCGCCGGGGCCAGCGUGGCGCGGGGGCCUGUCCCGCGGGCGCCAGACACGUGCGUGCAGGGCCGCUGGGCCGGACGGCGCGACCCGGGGGCGGGGGCGGGGGCGGCGGCGGGACGGGAGCAGGCGCGCGCUGCCCACCGAGGGCCCCGGGGACCGGGGAGCCCCAGCUCGCGGGGGCGCCGCGGGGAGGGAUUUGGGGGGCCCGGGAGGAAAGUGCUGACCCCUGUGUGCGGACGGCCCGCCCCGGGUUUGGGGCCGCCACUCCCUGCUGCCCCCUGGCCCUCGCUCCGUCUGUCUUGCCCCGUGUCCUUCCUCCCUCCGCUCCUUAGGGUGCGCGGCUGCUCCCGCAGGCUUCGCCUCCCAGGGAAGCUCCAGCCUGCCCGAGGGAGCCGCACCGCCCGUCUGUCCCCCAGCCCCGCGUCCCAAGCCCGCAAGAGCUCCGUUCCCGUGCAGCGUUCAGCUCGGCCGUCACCGCACGUAGUGAGGACAGGUGCUCGCCCAAGGGUAGCGACCUCAGGCUGA